rnacentral:rRNA from 1 species
UACGUAGGGUGCGAGCGUUGUCCGGAAUUAUUGGGCGUAAAGAGCUCGUAGGCGGCCUGUCGCGUCGGAUGUGAAAGCCCGGGGCUUAACCCCGGGUCUGCAUUCGAUACGGGCAGGCUAGAGUGUGGUAGGGGAGAUCGGAAUUCCUGGUGUAGCGGUGGAAUGCGCAGAUAUCAGGAGGAACACCGGUGGCGAAGGCGGUUCUCUGGGCAUUACCUGACGCUGAGGAGCGAAAGUGUGGGGAGCGAACAGG